GUGACCGGACAUCUGGCCAAAUUUAAAAUUUUAGAGCGUUCUUCUACUGCACGAGGAGGACUAAUUAUUGGAGUCGGAGAUCGACGGCUGAGAUGAAGUUGAAGCUUCAAGAGCAAACGUGACCUUUAUUCCACUUUCCCUGUCCCACCAACUCGCUUACUCUAAUUGUCACACAGUAAACCCUACUAUUAUCUGAACUCUUGCGCUUCUAUCUUCUGGAUAAACCCUCCUUGAACCUUCUUCUCUUUUACACCAACUAAAACACCAAAUUCUUACCUGUAAGUUAUUUCCUUUUCAUUAUUCGUUAUAUAGAUUUUGUUCUUCUUUCAAGAAUGUUCGUCAGAUGAAAUGGAUAACCUGUAAUUGCAUUUUGUAUUCAAUGUUACCUGUUCAGUAAUUUUGUUUUUAUGUGGAACAUGGCGUGUUUUAAAAUUGGCUUCUGGGUUAUGUUUGUAAUUUCUAAAGCGUGGGAAUUGGAUAUUGAUUGGAAUCGGUGUCUUUAUUUAUAAUGAAGAGCAAAUCCAUAUUUGUUUAUGAAGUCCGGUUCUUUUCAUGAAUGAUAUCUUGAGCUUUUGUGUCAAGUCUUAAGAGUGC
rnacentral:lncRNA from 1 species